rnacentral:rRNA from 1 species
AACGAACGCUGGCGGCGUGCUUAACACAUGCAAGUCGAACGCGAAAGGGACUUCGGUCCUGAGUAAAGUGGCGCACGGGUGAGUAACGCGUAGAUAACCUGUCUUGACGUCUGGAAUAAUACGCCGAAAGGGGUACUAAUACCGGAUAUUCUUGCUUUUCAUAAGUAUUGCAAGGAAAGGUGGCCUCUGUAUAUGCUACUGCGUGAAGAGGGGUCUGCGUACCAUUAGCUAGUAGGUGGGGUAAUGGCCUACCUAGGCAACGAUGGUUAGCGGGUCUGAGAGGAUGAUCCGCCACACGGGCACUGGAACACGGGCCAGACUCCUACGGGAGGCAGCAGUGAGGAAUAUUGCGCAAUGGGGGAAACCCUGACGCAGCGACGCCGCGUGAGUGAGGAAGGCCUUCGGGUCGUAAAGCUCUGUCAAAGGGAAAGAAGUGCAUGGUGGCUAAUACCUGCCAUGUUUGACGGUACCCUUAAAGGAAGCACCGGCUAACUCCGUGCCAGCCGCCGCAGUAAAAC